ensembl:misc_RNA
GUAGAGCUGUGGUUAGUUCCUUUGUGUGGUUUAACUGUUGGCCCAGGUUUCC